rnacentral:rRNA from 1 species
GCGAACAGAUGAGAAGCUUGCUUCUCUGAUGUUAGCGGCGGACGGGUGAGUAACACGUGGGUAACCUACCUAUAAGACUGGGAUAACUCCGGGAAACCGGGGCUAAUACCGGAUAAUAUUUUGAACCGCAUGGUUCAAUAGUGAAAGACGGUUUCGGCUGUCACUUAUAGAUGGACCCGCGCCGUAUUAGCUAGUUGGUAAGGUAAUGGCUUACCAAGGCGACGAUACGUAGCCGACCUGAGAGGGUGAUCGGCCACACUGGAACUGAGACACGGUCCAGACUCCUACGGGAGGCAGCAGUAGGGAAUCUUCCGCAAUGGGCGAAAGCCUGACGGAGCAACGCCGCGUGAGUGAUGAAGGUCUUCGGAUCGUAAAACUCUGUUGUUAGGGAAGAACAAAUUUGUUAGUAACUGAACAAGUCUUGACGGUACCUAACCAGAAAGCCACGGCUAACUACGUGCCAGCAGCCGCGGUAAUACGUAGGUGGCAAGCGUUAUCCGGAAUUAUUGGGCGUAAAGCGCGCGUAGGCGGUUUCUUAAGUCUGAUGUGAAAGCCCACGGCUCAACCGUGGAGGGUCAUUGGAAACUGGGAAACUUGAGUGCAGAAGAGGAGAGUGGAAUUCCAUGUGUAGCGGUGAAAUGCGCAGAGAUAUGGAGGAACACCAGUGGCGAAGGCGGCU